GUCACAGUUGCUCAUAAUAAAACUACUGUAGAUUGACUAUAUAUAAGCAUUGACUCUAUUAUGAGUUUUUGUAGUGGAUGUUGGCUUCAAUUAGUUGAGCUGUGGGAGCAAACUGUACAUCUAGAUGAGAUCUAUUAACCUUGAUAGAGAGGAGUAGUUCUAUAAGAUUUAAAAAAUUGAGUCCACAAGUCCAUGGCCAUAGCAGUGUGAUUGAUGGAAAAGAGUUUUUAUUUGGAA
rnacentral:lncRNA from 1 species